rnacentral:rRNA from 1 species
AUUGAACGCUGGCGGCAGGCCUAACACAUGCAAGUCGAACGAGUGGCGGACGGGUGAGUAAUGUCUGGGAAACUGCCUGAUGUAGGCGGAUAACUACUGGAAACAGUAGCUAAUACCCAAUACCAUCAGAUGUGCCCAGAUGGGAUUAGCUUGUUGGUGGGGUAACGGCUCACCAAGGCGACGAUCCCUACCUGGUCUGAGAGGAUGACCAGCCACACGGGAACUGAGACACGGUCCAGAUGCCGACGGGAGGAAGCAGUGGGGAAUCUUGCACAAUGGGCGCAAGCCUGAGGCAGCAAUGCCGCGUGUAUGAAGAAGGUCUUCGUGUUGUAAAGUACUUUCAGCGGGGAGGCGUUAUCCGCAGAAGAAGCCCCGGCUAACUCCGUGCCAGCAGCCGCGGUAAUAC